AUUGAACGCUGGCGGAAUGCUUUACACAUGCAAGUCGAACGGCAGCACGGACUUCGGUCUGGUGGCGAGUGGCGAACGGGUGAGUAAUGUAUCGGAACGUGCCCAGUCGUGGGGGAUAACGUAGUGAAAAUUACGCUAAUACCGCCUACGAUCUAUGGAUGAAAGCGGGGGAUCGACAGACCUCGCGCGCUUGGAGCGGCCGAUAUCAGAUUAGGUAGUUGGUGGGGUAAAGGCCCACCAAGCCAACGAUCUGUAGCUGGUCUGAGAGGACGACCAGCCACACUGGUACUGAGACACGGUCCAGACUCCUACGGGAGGCAGCAGUGGGGAAUUUUGGACAAUGGGCGAAAGCCUGAUCCAGCCAUUCCGCGUGCAGGAUGAAGGCCCUCAGGUUGUAAACUGCUUUUGUACAGAACGAAAAGGUUUCUACUAAUACUAGGAGCUCAUGACGGUACUGUAAGAAUAAGCACCGGCUAACUACGUGCCAGCCGCCGCGGUAA
rnacentral:rRNA from 1 species